rnacentral:rRNA from 1 species
UACGUAGGGUGCAAGCGUUGUCCGGAAUUAUUGGGCGUAAAGAGCGCGUAGGCGGACCUGCAAGUCGGGGGUGAAAGCCCGAGGCUCAACCUCGGAACUGCCUUCGAUACUGCGGGUCUCGAGUCCGGGAGAGGUGAGUGGAAUUCCUAGUGUAGAGGUGAAAUUCGUAGAUAUUAGGAAGAACACCAGUGGCGAAGGCGGCUCACUGGCCCGGUACUGACGCUGAGGCGCGAAAGCGUGGGGAGCAAACAGG